rnacentral:lncRNA from 1 species
UCAUUAAAGGAAAUGCAAGCUCUGGCAUAAAGUUUCAACUGUGAGCUAAAUAUUCCAUACGAGAUGCUGCAUGAAUGCUGUUACAUAAAAAGGGAAAGUUCAUUAUUUGGAAGCUGACAUAGUUCUAAUUUUGUACCAACCGCCUUCAAACAUCAAUUCCUGGAUGUAAAUCAAGAUAUGAUGCAAGUAAAUUAUUUUAAUUGGACUGUACAUUUUUAAAUGGUAAUUGAUAAAUCUUUUACUUUUCAGUACACAUAUAAAAAAGAUUAGGUAUGAAUGCUAAUGAGACAACUCUCCACAAGUGACUAAAACGACACAGACAUUAACUGGCCUUCAACGAUGAGCAAAACCCAUACCGCAUAGUCAGCAUUAAAGACCCCG